rnacentral:rRNA from 1 species
AAAUACCACCCUGGCAACUUUGAGGUUCUAACUCAGGUCCGUUAUCCGGAUCGAGGACAGUGUAUGGUGGGUAGUUUGACUGGGGCGGUCUCCUCCUAAAGAGUAACGGAGGAGUACGAAGGUGCGCUCAGACCGGUCGGAAAUCGGUCGUAGAGUAUAAAGGCAAAAGCGCGCUUGACUGCGAGACAGACACGUCGAGCAGGUACGAAAGUAG